rnacentral:rRNA from 1 species
UACGUAGGCAGCAAGCGUUGUUCGGAAUUACUGGGCGUAAAGAGUGUGUAGGCGGUGUUCUAAGUCUGUUGUGAAAUCUCCCGGCUUAACUGGGAGGGUGCGGCGGAAACUGGAAUGCUAGAGGAUGGGAGAGGUAAGCGGAAUUCCUGGUGUAGCGGUGAAAUGCGUAGAUAUCGGGAGGAACACCUGUGGCGAAAGCGGCGCACUGGACCACAACUGACGCUGAGGCGCGAAAGCUAGGGGAGCAAACAGG